AGCAGCCGCGGUAAUUCCAGCUCCAAUAGCGUAUAUUAAAGUUGUUGCAGUUAAAAAGCUCGUAGUUGAAUUUCGGGAUUAGUAUGUUGGUCGUGCCUUUGGUACGUACUGGUGUUACUGAUUCCUACCUUCUGACGAACCAUCAUGUCAUUUAUUUGGUGUGGCGGGGAAUCAGGACUGUUACUUUGAAAAAAUUAGAGUGUUUAAAGCAGGCUCGCGCUUGAAUACAUUAGCAUGGAAUAAUGAAAUAGGACGUUGACCCUAUUUUGUUGGUUUCUAGGAUUGACGUAAUGAUUAAUAGGGAUAGUUGGGGGCAUUAGUAUUCAAUUGUCAGAGGUGAAAUUCUUGGAUUUAUUGAAGACUAACUACUGCGAAAGCAUUUGCCAAGGAUGUUUUCAUUAAUCAAGAACGAAAGUUAGGGGAUCGAAGACGAUCAGAUACCGUCGUAGUCUUAACCAUAAACUAUGCCGACUAGGGAUCGGAUGAUGUUAUUUUUAAUGACUCAUUCGGCGCCUUACG
rnacentral:rRNA from 1 species